GCGAGUGACGUACGUCGCUGUUUAUGUUCCGUGUAGAAACAAGAGUCUGUAUCGACUUACCUGUUCAUAUCAGUAGGUCUGUAAACACAACUAGUUUUAGUUUAGUGAAAGUUUAAUCGGGUAAUUAGUGACUUUAAGAUGGACGGAAAAUAUCGCGCUAAAGGAAAAAGAGGAAGCGGAAGAGUAGGCCGAGAAAACCGAGAAGAGAGCAGAGAUGUGCGUCUGUCCAAAUCCCUGACUUACGCCCUAAGACAUGGUGCUGCUAAAAUGGGGCUUAACAUGGGCUCAGAUGGCUUUGUAUUUGUGGAUGAACUUCUCACUCAUGGACAGUUCAGGUCAUUUUCAUUGGAGGACAUAGAGAGAGUGGUGGCUACAAAUGAGAAGCAGCGCUUCAAAUUGCAAAACCAUAUUGAAAAUGGACGGCCACAGAUCCGUGCUAAUCAAGGACAUACUGUACAGGUUGAAGACCUAGAAUUGACAGCAGUGGCUCUGGGUGCUCCAGACUGUCCACAGGAGGCUGUUCAUGGGUCCUACAUGAAACACUGGUCGUCAAUCCGUAGCCAAGGCCUGUCGAGGAUGAGCAGAACACACAUUCACCUGGCGCCUGGGCUGCCUGGAGAAGGCCAAGUUAUCAGUGGUGUGAGCCACAGAGAGAAUUCAUUCAUUCAUUCAUUUUCUACCGCUUAUCCGAACUACCUCGGGUCACGGGGAGCCUGUGCCUAUCUCAGGCGUCAUCGGGCAUCAAGGCAGGAUACACCCUGGACGGAAUGCCAACCCAUCGCAGGGCACACACUCUCAUUCACUCACGCAAUCACACACUUGUCACACAAUUUUCCAGAGAUGCCAAUCAACCUACCAUGCAUGUCUUUGGACCGGGGGAGGAAACCGGAGUACCCGGAGGAAACCCCCGAGGCACGGGGAGAACAUGCAAACUCCACACACACAAGGUGGAGGCGGGAAUCGAACCCCGACCCUGGAGGUGUGAGGCGAACGUGCUAACCACUAAGCCACCGUGCCCCCUAGAGAGAAUUCAGUGUUUUGGUUUUAACUCAAAUGCAGUAAAUCAGAUAAGUUUUGUCAGUUCUUUGAGGUUCAUUUCUUUAUUGAGGUGCUGGAAUUGUUAAAUUGUUAAAUAUCUGCCUCAAAUCACAAAGAAUUUUCUAAAAAAAUCUUUCACUCAUAAUUGAUGAGGUGAUGUCUGGCUCAUAGUAGGACUGAUUGGAAAAGUAUUAGUGACAUUAGACUUCGUAGUAGUCACUCCAAUGCAAACCACAGCUAACAAAACAAAUUCUGGAUAGCAAAUGUUUUGGUUCUGGGUAAAGGAAAAUAACUUCCAGAAGAUGAGACAUUCUAGAGCAGUAGUUCUCAACUUUGGUCGUGGGGAACCGUUGUUUGCAAGCUGUUCCCUUGCAGAUAUUUUCUCCAGCUAUUUAGAUAAUGUUCUUCAGGUCGAUAUGCGUGGAACUCCAUGUUUAUAGUGGGGACCCACUGUUCUGGAAGAUGGUGAUAUGAAAUUGUGACUGAGAUGUAGAGCUCUCUGUGAGGUUCUACCGCUAAACAACAUUGUACAAGCGAUCUGUAGACAUAUAAAUUAGUUUGUUUUAUGUUUAUUUAUGUUUUAUGAGUAAAAAUUAUUUCUUUAUCUUUUUUUUUUUUAGGGAUGAGACAUAAUUGUGAACUUGCUGUGUACAUCAAUGUCCCUAAAGCAAUAGCAGACGGAAUUAAGUUUUACUGGUCCGAAAAUAAAGUGCUUUUGACGCCAGGAGAUGCUGAAGGAGUGUUGCCUCCUAAAUAUUUCUUGCGUGC